rnacentral:lncRNA from 1 species
AGGCGCUGCGAGAGUUUGGGUGCCCCCCCUGGGAACAGCCCCCCAAGGCGGAGGAGCCGCUCAGGUACCCCCUGAUGGGACAGGGACCCCUCCCCAGGACAGAGACCCCAAACUUGGGGGGUCCCAGGACAAGAACUCCAAGUCUGGGACCCCAGUUUAGCACCCCAGGAUCCCCUUCUUCCCCCCACCCGGGGUGGUCCCAGCCCCGUCCUGCCCCCCCAGAGGGUCCCGUGUGCCCCUCAGGACCCCCCUGAUUGUUCCUCUCGUGGGGGUCCCGGUGCCCCCAAUGCCCUUCCCAUGGCCAUGCCCUUUGACCCCUGUGUCCUUUGUCCCCCCCCGCAGCCCCCCGGUGAUCCUGGAUGACCCCGGCGAUCCCGAGCUGGCCCAGGCUGUGGCCGCCGCCCGCGGGGCCGCCCCGGGGUGGGGGCGGCUGCCGGGGGCGUCGCGGGCCCGGGUGCUGCGGGGGGCGGCGGCGGCGCUGCCGGGGGGUCCCGGGACCCCCGAGGACGGCGACGGCGGCGACACCGGCGGGAGCCUGCGGGGGGCGCUGCUGCGCUGGGCGGAGCGAGCGGAGCGCGCGGGCGGGGCCGUGCAGGAGCUGCCCGGGGGGCGGGCCCUGCUGACGAGGCGGCCGCUCGGGGUGCUGGGCGUGGCCUGGGGUUGGCCCCGCCCCCUGGCGCUGGAGCUCCUCCUCCCGGCGCUGGCGCUCGGGAACGCGGUCGUGGUGGUAGCGCCUCCUGGCGGCGCCGGUGCCGCACAGCGGCUGCGGAAGUCUCUGGUGGCCGCGGGGCUGCCGGGGGCGGCCCUGUCGGUGCUUCCCGGCGCUUCCCAGGGCUGCGGACGUCGCCUGGCGCGGCAGCGCCCGGACGGGCUGUGGCUGUGCGGGGGGGACGCGGUGAGUGCGGGGGCGGUGCGGGACAUUUGGGGGGGGGACAGCGGAGAGCACGCGGGGAAGGGGGGUGGGCACUGGGACGUUUUGGGGGUCCCGAGCCGUGGGACGGCUGCUGUGGGGGAUUUUGGAGUGGGGGGGGCACACCCCCCGGCUGU